rnacentral:tRNA from 2 species
GGAGGCGUCGCAUAGUGGUCUAGUGCGGUUGCUUGGAGAGCAACUGUAUCCGAAAGGGUACCGCUGGUUCGAAUCCAGCCGCCUCCG